CCUUCGGGUUGUAAAGCUCUUUUGUCAGGGAAGAAACGGUCGGAUUCUAAUAAAGUUCACUAAUGACGGUACCUGAAGAAUAAGCACCGGCUAACUACGUGC
rnacentral:rRNA from 1 species